rnacentral:ncRNA from 2 species
UAUUUGCAUUCGAAUUAAGGUUGUGAUUGAAAUGUUACAAAUCACAUUAAAAGGGAAUUUGGUGUAAAACCAAAGCUGUUCCCGCAACUGUAAGCUAUUUAGCUCGCUGUUAUCUACAAACCACUGUCCUGCAUGGGAUGGGAAGGUAAACAGCAAGACGCAAGCCAGGAGACCUGCCUUUCUUCUUAACAAUUA